AUACGGAGGAUCCGAGCGUUAUCCGGAUUUAUUGGGUUUAAAGGGAGCGUAGGCGGACGCUUAAGUCAGUUGUGAAAGUUUGCGGCUCAACCGUAAAAUUGCAGUUGAUACCGGGUGUCUUGAGUACAGUAGAGGCAGGCGGAAUUCGUGGUGUAGCGGUGAAAUGCUUAGAUAUCACGAAGAACUCCGAUUGCGAAGGCAGCCUGCUGGACUGUAACUGACGCUGAUGCUCGAAAGUGUGGGUAUCAAACAGGAUUAGAUACCCUGGUAGUCCACACAGUAAACGAUGAAUACUCGCUGUUUGCGAUAUACAGUAAGCGGCCAAGCGAAAGCGUUAAGUAUUCCACCUGGGGAGUACGCCGGCAACGGUGAAACUUAAAGGAAUUGACGGGG
rnacentral:rRNA from 1 species